UGCGACAAUGGCAAACCCUGCGAAAGCAGGGGACGCAAAGCCACAGAUCCUCUACUUAAGGUAAGGAUGGCUGGGUUACCGAAC
rnacentral:ncRNA from 1 species